GCACAUAUAGCUCAAUCGGAUAGAGUGCCAGACUUCGAAUCUGGAUGUUGUAGGUUCGAUUCCUACUAUGUGCA
rnacentral:tRNA from 2 species